rnacentral:rRNA from 1 species
CACGUGGGCAACCUGCCCCUGGCUUCGGGAUAAGCCCGGGAAACCGGGUCUAAUACUGGAUAUGAGACUGGAUCGCAUGGUCUGGUUUGGAAAGUUUUUCGGCUGGGGAUGGGCCCGCGGCCUAUCAGCUUGUUGGUGGGGUGAUGGCCUACCAAGGCGACGACGGGUAGCCGGCCUGAGAGGGCGAUCGGCCACACUGGGACUGAGACACGGCCCAGACUCCUACGGGAGGCAGCAGUGGGGAAUAUUGCACAAUGGGCGCAAGCCUGAUGCAGCGACGCCGCGUGAGGGAUGACGGCC